rnacentral:lncRNA from 1 species
AAUUUUUUUUUUCUUUAUGAUGAAAGAAGGGUAAUUCUUGCUUCCUAAUAUUUUAAUACUAUAAUUUACACUGGCAGGAUGGAGAAAUGAUCAAGAUGGUCGGGCUGACGGGAUGGUCUGAAUGGACAUUAUGGACAAGAAUGGACGAGCUAAUAGGAUGAUUGAGAUGGAUGGGCUGGUCGGGAUGGACAGGCUAAUGAGAUGGUAGGGAUUGAACAGGUUGACUGAAUGGCUAGGAUGAACAUGCUUAUCGAUUUGGUCGGGCUGGUCGGGAUGGACGGGUUAAUAAGAUGAACAGGUUAGCUAAUCUGAUUAGGUUGGCUAGGAUGAUCGAGAUGGGCUAAUGAGAUGGCUAGGAUUAACGAGAUGGACAUUAUGAACGAGCUAGAUAGGUUGAACGGGCUGGCUAGGAUAGAUGGGUUGACGAUGGCCUAGGUGGACUAGAUGGAGGGGCUAAUGGGAUAGCUGAAAUGGACGGGCUAGUCAACUAGACAGACUAACGUAAUGGACAGAUUCACGAGAUGACUCGGAUGGACAAACUAGCUAAACUAACCAAGAUGGAUGGACAAACUAAUGUGAUGGUUGAGAUGGACCGGACUAACGAGAUGACUAAAAACUAUGAGUUGAUAAGAUAACUAGGAUAUACGCGUUGGUCAAAUUGGUCUGUCAAGCUUGAUUCAUUUUGUUAUCCCUACUUAAAAAAACGUGUGCAUACUCAAAAUACUAGUUUUAUAUUUGAAAAGUAUUUUUUUAAUGG